ACGUAGGGGGCGAGCGUUGUCCGGAAUUAUUGGGCGUAAAGCGCGCGCAGGCGGUCUUCUAAGUCUGAUGUGAAAGCCCACGGCUUAACCGUGGAGGGUCAUUGGAAACUGGAGGACUUGAGUACAGAAGAGGAGAGUGGAAUUCCACGUGGAGCGGUGAAAUGCGUAGAGAUGUGGAGGAACACCAGUGGCGAAGGCGACUCUCUGGUCUGUAACUGACGCUGAGGUGCGAAAGCGUGGGUAGCGAACAGGAUUAGAUACCCUGGUAGUCCACGCCGUAAACGAUGAGUGCUAGGUGUCAAGGGGUUUCCGCCCCUUGGUGCUGCAGUUAACGCAUUAAGCACUCCGCCUGGGGAGUACGGCCGCAAGGCUGAAACUCAAAAAGAAUUGACGGGGGCCCGCACAAGCGGUGGAGCAUGUGGUUUAAUUCGAAGCAACGCGAAGAACCUUACCAGGUCUUGACAUCCUCUGACAACCCUAGAGAUAGGGCAUUCCCUUCGGGGACAGAGUGACAGGUGGUGCAUGGUUGUCGUCAGCUCGUGUCGUGAGAUGUUGGGUUAAGUCCCGUAACGAGCGCAACCCUUGAUCUUAGUUGCCAGCAUUAAGUUGGGCACUCUAAGGUGACUGCCGGUGACAAACCGGAGGAAGGUGGGGAUGACGUCAAAUCAUCAUGCCCCUUAUGACCUGGGCUAC
rnacentral:rRNA from 1 species